AGAGUUUGAUCCUGGCUCAGGAUGAACGCUAGCGGCAGGCUUAAUACAUGCAAGUCGAGGGGCAGCACAGGUAGCAAUACUGGGUGGCGACCGGCAAACGGGUGCGGAACACGUACGCAACCUUCCUUUAAGCGGGGAAUAGCCCAGGGAAACUUGGAUUAAUACCCCAUAAGAAAGUGGAAUGGCAUCAUUCAGCUUUU
rnacentral:rRNA from 1 species